AGAUGUGUUGUUAUAGAGGAGAUGUGUUGUUAUAGAGGAGAUGUGUUGUUAUAGAGGAGAUGUGUUGUUAUAGAGGAGAUGUGUUGUUAUAGAGGUGAAGGGUUGUUAUAGAGGAGAAGGGUUGUUAUAGAGGUGAAGGGUUGUUAUAGAGGAGAUGUGUUGUUAUAGAGGAGAUGUGUUGUUAUAGAGGAGAAGGGUUGUUAUAGAGGUGAAGGGUUGUUAUAGAGGUGAAGGGUUGUUAUAGAGGAGAUGUGUUGUUAUAGAGGAGAUGUGUUGUUAUAGAGGAGAUGUGUUGUUAUAGAGGUGAAGGGUUGUUAUAGAGGAGAUGUGUUGUUAUAGAGGAGAUGUGUUGUUAUAGAGGUGAAGGGUUGUUAUAGAGGUGAAGGGUUGUUAUAGAGGAGAUGGGUUGUUAUAGAGGAGAUGUGUUGUUAUAGAGGAGAUGUGUUGUUAUAGAGGUGAUGUGUUGUUAUAGAGGAGAUGUGUUGUUAUAGAGGAGAUGUGUUGUUAUAGAGGAGAUGUGUUGUUAUAGAGGUGAUGUGUUGUUAUAGAGGAGAUGUGUUGUUAUAGAGAUGUGUUGUUAUAGAGGAGAUGUGUUGUUAUAGAGGAGAUGUGUUGUUAUAGAGGAGAUGUGUUGUUAUAGAGGUGAUGUGUUGUUAUAGAGGAGAUGUGUUGUUAUAGAGGUGAAGGGUUGUUAUAGAGGUGAAGGGUUGUUAUAGAGGUGAAGGGUUGUUAUAGAGGAGAUGUGUUGUUAUAGAGGAGAUGUGUUGUUAUAGAGGAGAUGUGUUGUUAUAGAGGAGAUGUGUUGUUAUAGAGGAGAUGUGUUGUUAUAGAGGUGAUGUGUUGUUAUAGAGGAGAUGUGUUGUUAUAGAGGUGAAGGGUUGUUAUAGAGAUGUGUUGUUAUAGAGGAGAUGUGUUGUUAUAGAGGAGAUGUGUUGUUAUAGAGGAGAUGUGUUGUUAUAGAGGAGAUGUGUUGUUAUAGAGGUGAAGGGUUGUUAUAGAGGAGAUGUGUUGUUAUAGAGGUGAAGGGUUGUUAUAGAGGAGAUGUGUUGUUAUAGAGGUGAAGGGUUGUUAUAGAGGAGAUGUGUUGUUAUAGAGGAGAUGUGUUGUUAUAGAGGUGAAGGGUUGUUAUAGAGGUGAAGGGUUGUUAUAGAGGAGAUGUGUUGUUAUAGAGGUGAAGGGUUGUUAUAGAGGUGAAGGGUUGUUAUAGAGGAGAUGUGUUGUUAUAGAGGAGAUGUGUUGUUAUAGAGGAGAUGUGUUGUUAUAGAGGAGAUGUGUUGUUAUAGAGGUGAUGUGUUGUUAUAGAGGAGAUGUGUUGUUAUAGAGGAGAUGUGUUGUUAUAGAGGAGAUGUGUUGUUAUAGAGGAGAAGUGUUGUUAUAGAGGAGAUGUGUUGUUAUAGAGGAGAUGUGUUGUUAUAGAGGAGAUGUGUUGUUAUAGAGGAGAUGUGUUGUUAUAGAGGAGAUGUGUUGUUAUAGAGGAGAUGUGUUGUUAUAGAGGUGAAGGGUUGUUAUAGAGGAGAUGUGUUGUUAUAGAGGAGAUGUGUUGUUAUAGAGGAGAUGUGUUGUUAUAGAGGUGAAGGGUUGUUAUAGAGGUGAAGGGUUGUUAUAGAGGUGAAGGGUUGUUAUAGAGGAGAUGUGUUGUUAUAGAGGAGAUGUGUUGUUAUAGAGGUGAAGGGUUGUUAUAGAGGUGAAGGGUUGUUAUAGAGGUGAAGGGUUGUUAUAGAGGAGAUGUGUUGUUAUAGAGGAGAUGUGUUGUUAUAGAGGAGAUGUGUUGUUAUAGAGGUGAUGUGUUGUUAUAGAGGAGAUGUGUUGUUAUAGAGGAGAUGUGUUGUUAUAGAGGUGAAGGGUUGUUAUAGAGGAGAUGUGUUGUUAUAGAGGAGAUGUGUUGUUAUAGAGGAGAUGUGUUGUUAUAGAGGAGAUGUGUUGUUAUAGAGGUGAAGGGUUGUUAUAGAGGAGAUGUGUUGUUAUAG